GGUGCUCGAGUGGCGAACGGGUGAGUAACGCGUGAGUAACCUGCCCUUGACUUUGGGAUAACUUCAGGAAACUGGGGCUAAUACCGGAUAGGAGCUCCUGCUGCAUGGUGGGGGUUGGAAAGUUUCGGCGGUUGGGGAUGGACUCGCGGCUUAUCAGCUUGUUGGUGGGGUAGUGGCUUACCAAGGCUUUGACGGGUAGCCGGCCUGAGAGGGUGACCGGCCACAUUGGGACUGAGAUACGGCCCAG
rnacentral:rRNA from 1 species